GUUGAUCAUUUUCCUUUUAAUCUUUUAAACUCACAUUUCUCUGGAUUAAAACCCAACAUUUUUGGUGCUGAAACUCCGGGAGUCAAGAUCCAAUUGUCCAGGACCGUGCGGGACCAAGGCCAAGAAACUGACGACAGCCGUCCACCCUUUGCCGGACAGAGCCAAUAGGUUGGUCCAGCCCUGCCCUGGACAUCCUGGUGACGACUCAAGCUGAGGACUGAUCUGCACAGAAACGGAAGGCCUGAAGCCUGGAGACCGAGUGCUGAUUAAAAUCAUCAAAAGGAAAACUUGGAAAGCUCCGAGGUGGGAAGGACCCUACAUAGAGCAACUAACAACCCCCACCACUGUGAAGAUCCAGGAGAGAAACACUUGGAUCCACCAGAGUCAUUGUAAACUGAUUAAAAAAUUUCCUCAGCAAAAAAGCCCAGUUACUUUCACAGGGACCCCACGACUAAGGUAUAGAUCUGUGGUGAAGUCCAGCUUCAAAGGGGUUUGGUUUUUUUAGGACCAAUCGUCUCAACGCUGGUGAA